CCACUCCAGUCCACUAAGCGGCGGUAGUUGUUUUAUAAGUUGGCUGCCAACCGCCCAUAUUUAUAAGAAGAGGAACCAGCAGCAGUCACUUGGUUGCUGUCUUCCUCGACUGAAACAUCACUUUUGAAACUGAUCACUUGCAACAGUUGGAAACACUCACAGACUGGACUCCAUAGGUGCUAAAGUGAAGCCACUUAAAGACUGGACUUAAAUCAGGUCCUCCCACAGACAUCAUCAGCUUUUUAUAACAAUGUUGUAACUUGUUUUUUUGAAAGCAAAUGUUGACCAGUAUUUUAAAUAAAAUAAAACUUCUAAAAGUA